UUUAGUGCCGCUAACAGAAUCGUAGCAGGCAGAGGGAGUGAAAGAUUAGUCUACGCAGAAGCAUUGACAGAACUGUUCAAAAACCGAAGGGUGAUUUAAAAAAAAAAAAGUUUUUUUUGUCCCCGCACUCGACAGCAACAUACGAGCGGAUUAUGAUUGUCAAGAACUUGAAGAAGCGUGAGAGAAGAUAAAGGACCUAACGGUAUAAAUUUGAAGUGUUUUCCGAAUAGUAACGGCCAAAAGUCUCGUAUCUGCUUUAAAGUUCCUGUGUUGGCAGGGACGAAAAUAUAUGCAAUGUCUUUUUGGGACAGGAUUUUCUGACAUUUAUCAUAAAACAUAUUUUAUUUACAGUUGAUCCUUGGAUAAAGGCAUAUCACCUAGUAGUCGCCUACCUAACUACCAACGGGAAAAGUUGACUCGUCCGUGCUACUGCAGGGAAAAUGUUUGGCUUAUGGCCUCUUUGGACACCAGUAGCUUAUGUCCGUCUGAAUCAGCUGUAUCUGGUCGUAUAACUGAGGAGUGAAGGGAUCCACAGACAAGACAUUCUUCAUGCGUAGUAACCAGGUGAGUCAAGCUGGACUUUACUGCUGAGCUUAUUCUGCUAUUUUAUUUAGCAAAUGUUAAUGGUUUUUUGAAGGUUGUUUGACUGAAAGUGGCGCUUCAAUCUUUCCGAAACUGACCUGAUCGUAAUAGCUUAACUGAAUUAGGAGCAUUGUUUUUGCUUUCAGUUAGUAUCAUCUUUUGGUUGCUACACCAGUGUCGAAUCGCAGAGAGAGAAAUGGGAUGCCAUACAUAACAGUCAGACCUCUUACAGAGAGAGUCAGCUAGAUAGAAACAUGCUCUAUGUUAUGAAACCAGCCACAAA
rnacentral:lncRNA from 1 species